rnacentral:rRNA from 1 species
CCUACGGGAGGCAGCAGUGGGGAAUAUUGCACAAUGGGCGAAACCCUGAUGCAGCGACGCCGCGUGAGUGAAGAAGUAAUUCGUUAUGUAAAGCUCUAUCAGCAGGGAAGAAAAUGACGUUACCUGUGUAAGAAGCCCCGGCGAACUACGUGCCAGCAGCCGCGGUAAUACGUAGGGGGCAAGCGUUAUCCGGAUUUACUGGGUGUAAAGGGAGCGUAGACGGCUGUGCAAGCCUGGAGUGAAAGGCGCGGGCUCAACCCCCGGACUGCUGUGGAAACUGGCCGGCUGGAGUGCAGGAGAGGUAGGUGGAAUUCGUGGUGUAGCGGGGAAAUGCGUAGAUAUUAGGAGGAACACCAGUGGCGAAGGCGGCUUACUGGACUGUAACUGACGUUGAGGCUCGAAAGCGUGGGGAGCAAACAGGAUUAGAUACCCGUGUAGUC